CUGGCUGGGAGGGCCUACCCCACAGGGAGGAGUAAGUAGGUCAGCGUCCCACUUAAAGAAGCAGCCUGGCCACAAGCUGGCAAAGCCGCUGUGCUGCGUUGGGGUGACCCUUCCUGGUGCAGACUGUUUGGACUCUCCAAAGCCAGCAGGCUGGAACAGCUCAGUUAUCCAAACAGCAAAGAUGACCGCCUGCCCCUCUCCUCCAGGGCUCCGUCCUGUCUCAGGCAAGCUCCACCCUGGUGCCAGUGGCUGGCUGGAAUUCCACGCCAGGGGGUCUUAUUUUGUGAGGUGCUGUGGAAGUGGGGCCUGCGUACUGAUGCCACUCAGCCCCCUGGAUUCAGCUCCCUUUCUAGGGGAUGGUCGCCCCAUUGCGUAUAGAGGAAAUGGAGGAAAACUUGGAAGUACCGCCUUCCAUACAAAGUCAAGGAUCGAGACCUUCCUCUCCGCGUUCCAGAAUCCCUCAGGAAAUACGCGCGUGCCUUCGCAUCUAGAGCAAGCGCUGCAAGAAUUCACAGAACGGCCAGAAGUUCCCCAUCCCGCUGGUGGCACUCACUGCGUUAGGCGCUCAGCCUCCAGUCCGGGCCGCUUUGGCUUGAAGACGGCCGUUUUCCUUCCUGAUACCUGCUUCUAGUCUUUCUGCAACUUCUGGAUUCCUGUCAUUCUUAUACCUGCUCUGGGCAGCCUUCCAUUCAUUCUGCGAAUUCCGUGAAGCUUUUCAAUAAAUUGCUUUUCUCCAA
rnacentral:lncRNA from 1 species